rnacentral:lncRNA from 1 species
CGCCUCUUGCCUUUGGACUAUGGACCAGACUUUAUGUGAAGGUAUUAACCCAGAUAGCUAUGCCAUGGAGCCCAUUCGUAUAGUUAAAGACUUCUGCUCCAUGGCAAUUGAACUGUGUGAAUAUGAUCUGAGCGCUAUUCGGUAGUUUUGUGCGCUCAGAUCCCAGCUAUCUGGGGAUAUGUGACAUGUCUGUGUUUUAUGUAUAAAAUGUGACUUUGUGUAUUUUAUAAUAUUUUAAUGCUUUGUGCUCACCAUGUGCAUAAUGGAGUCUUGUGUCUGUCCUGGGAGAUAAUUGAAUUAUUUCUCAAUUCAAUCUCCAGGAUAGAAGACUCUGAAACUGGUUUGGGCCGGAAAGCCAUGCUUCAUUUAGUCACAAAGGACUUUCCCUUAACUUUUGAACCCCUGGUCUGAUUCGUGCCAUUUUUUAAUAUGUUGUUCCCCUGAAUGGAUUGAUUAUGAAAAUGUAUGUUUUAUGUUUGUGACAUGUAUAUUUUAGAAGUUAUAAAUAUUGUGUAAAAACUGUAUUCCUCUGCCGGUGAUAAUGAGAUUACCCAUUGUGUUCAGUAAUCAUAUCACAGGCAGAGGGGAGGAGUUUGUGUGGGAGUGUCUGGCUGUAUUGUACGGAUUGAUUGGUUGUUUUGUAACGC